rnacentral:rRNA from 1 species
UACAGAGGUCCCAAGCGUUGUUCGGAUUCAUUGGGCGUAAAGGGUGUGUAGGCGGCGCCGUAAGUCAGGUGUGAAAUCUCGGGGCUUAACUCCGAAACUGCAUUUGAUACUGCGGUGCUUGAGGACUGGAGAGGAGACUGGAAUUUACGGUGUAGCGGUGAAAUGCGUAGAUAUCGUAAGGAAGACCAGUGGCGAAGGCGGGUCUCUGGACAGUUCCUGACGCUGAGGCACGAAAGCUAGGGGAGCAAACAGG